rfam:Papio anubis isolate 1X1155 chromosome 2, whole genome shotgun sequence.
UAUUAGGUUGGUGCAAAAGUAAUUGUAGUUUUUACUAUUGAAAGCAAUGGCAGAAACCGCAAUUACUUUUGCACCAACCUAAUA